UACGGAGGGUGCAAGCGUUAUCCGGAUUCACUGGGUUUAAAGGGUGCGUAGGCGGGCAGGUAAGUCAGUGGUGAAAUCUCCAAGCUUAACUUGGAAACUGCCGUUGAUACUAUCUGUCUUGAAUACUGUGGAGGUGAGCGGAAUAUGUCAUGUAGCGGUGAAAUGCUUAGAUAUGACAUAGAACACCAAUUGCGAAGGCAGCUCACUACACAGCCAUUGACGCUGAGGCACGAAAGCGUGGGGAGCAAACAGG
rnacentral:rRNA from 1 species